ACGGGAGGCAGCAGUGGGGAAUAUUGCACAAUGGGCGAAAGCCUGAUGCAGCAACGCCGCGUGCGGGAAGAAGGCCCUAGGGUUGUAAACCGCUUUCAGCAGGGAAGAAACUGACGGUACCUGCAGAAGAAGGUGCGGCCAACUACGUGCCAGCAGCCGCGGUGACACGUAGGCACCAAGCGUUGUCCGGAUUUAUUGGGCGUAAAGAGCUCGUAGGCGGUUCAGUAAGUCGGGUGUGAAAACUCUGGGCUCAACCCAGAGACGCCACCCGAUACUGCUGUGACUUGAGUACGGUAGGGGAGUGGGGAAUUCCUGGUGUAGCGGUGAAAUGCGCAGAUAUCAGGAGGAACACCAGUGGCGAAGGCGCCACUCUGGGCCGUAACUGACGCUGAGGAGCGAAAGCGUGGGUAGCAAACAGGAUUAGAUACCCUGGUA
rnacentral:rRNA from 1 species